rnacentral:rRNA from 1 species
GAUCGGCUAACUCCGUGCCAGCAGCCGCGGUAAUACGGAGGAUCCAAGCGUUAUCCGGAUUCAUUGGGUUUAAAGGGUCCGCAGGCGGGUUAUUAAGUCAGUGGUGAAAUCCUGCAGCUUAACUGUAGAACUGCCAUUGAUACUGGUAACCUUGAGUGUGGUUGAAGUGGGCGGAAUGUGUCAUGUAGCGGUGAAAUGCAUAGAUAUGACACAGAACACCGAUUGCGAAGGCAGCUCACUAAGCCAUUACUGACGCUCAGGGACGAAAGCGUGGGGAGCGAACAGGAUUAGAUACCCUGGUAGUCCACGCCGUAAACGAUGAUCACUCGCUGUUGGCAAUACACAGUCAGCGGCCAAGCGAAAGCAUUAAGUGAUCCACCUGGGGAGUACGCCGGCAACGGUGAAACUCAAAUGAAUUGACGG